AUCGAACGCUGGCGGCAGGCUUAACACAUGCAAGUCGAACGAGUGGCGGACGGGUGAGUAAUGUCUGGGAAACUUCCCGUUGGAGGGGGAUAACUACUGGAAACCGUAGCUAAUACCGCAUUCUCUCGGUUGUGCCCAGAUGGGAUUAGCUUGUAGGUGGGGUAACGGCUCAACUAGGCGACGAUCCCUAGCUGGUCUGGGAGGAGGACCGGCCAAACUGGAAUGGGAACACGGUCCGGAUUCCUACGGGAGGCGGCAGUGGGGAAUAUUGGACAAGGGGCGCAAGCCUGAUGCAGACAGGCGGCGUGUAUGAGGAAGGCCUUCGGGUUGUAAGGUACGUUCAGCGGGGAGGCGUUACUCGCAGAAGAAGCACCGGCUAACUCCGUGCCAGCAGCCGCGGUAAUUC
rnacentral:rRNA from 1 species